GCCUGGUGGUUAGUGAAUAUGUAACACCUACCUCACACCACUGGGUGGGCUGCUUCUUGUGCCAUUGCUGCUCAGUCAGUCAACCUGCAGAGAGUAAUCAAGGCUGAAGUGGCAGUAGAAAAGAUCUUGCCUGUGGAAGGAAAGGAAGGAAGUGAAGAUUCUUCCCUUCCCACCUCUGCAAUGAGAGAUGGCAAUCCUUCCUAGAUAUGGCAGGCUGGAAGAUAUUGGAUCAUAAAAUCAUGACACUGGAAAGCAAUCCAGUGCUGUCUUCCAGUUAAUAACCACACUUGUGUUUACAAGACAACUGCUUUUACAAAACUGAAGAUCAUCAGAUGGGAACACUAACAACUUCAAUUUUAAAGUCCACUUCUGACCUAACAAGAAGCGUGGGAUACUUCAUUACAGAGGAUAUUCUACUGAAAUAUGAAACACACAUGAAAUCAUGAGCACUUAAGGAAAGAGCUUUUGUGGCCACAGCUAUCAUAUGAUAUUAAAACUGCAGCAUGACAGUAGUUGUUGUAAAUAAAUACAUAUUACAACAAGUAAAAAAAAGUGCAAUUACAAUUUCACAAUAUUUAUUUCUGCGAUCAAAUUUACAUACGAACUGCAAAGUAUGAGAAAUAUGAACCUUUGCAUAUACUCCCACAGACUGUGCAGAUAUAUCCACACAUUUAUGUGUACAGUUAUUAUAUUAAAAGACUGUUACACUUAUAAAAUAUUUUAGAGAAUAAUUUAUGUGGACAGGUUUAGAUAUUCAUUCUUACUCAGAAUGAUAAGCAAGCAGGCUGAAUAUAUUUGAAAAUGUAGUAAAUCAAGUUUUGGUCUUGCUAACACUAAUACACAUUCAUUUAGAUAAAUCUGAUGAGAAUUUUACCCAACCAAUAUAUCUUUAAAAGCUAAUCAAGUGAAUCUCUUUAAUAGCAUCAAGCCUCAUUUGGAAAGUUCACAAUCCAUAAUUAUCUGCUUCUUUGAAAAUGUUUGCUAAAAUUGUAGUUUUGGAACAGAUUAAAGUUCAAAUCUUACAUGUACAUGAAAUAAUUCAUUUGCCCAAACACCCCAAUUUUAGACAUUACUUGCAAAUGAAAAUUACAUCCCACAUGAUUUUAGUAUUAGCUUUUAUAUGAGCACUAAAUAUAAAAUGGUAGUCUGACCUUUAAGAAAAACUGUAUCUAAUAACAAAAUUAAAGAACAGGUUUAAAGAUUUGGUCACUAGUCUUUAUAAAAGGGAAAAAAGAAAACAAAAUCCCUUGCAGUCACAUUCUAUCAUUCUCUUUCAACUAUUCUUUUAGGUUUCUUUCCACUAUAUUUAAUUUUAUUUCAUUAUAUGCAGGAAGGCUAAUAACCAACCAUUUUGAUUCUGUUCAUUUUCCCCCAUUUAGACCAUUUUUCUUACCCUGAUUCAUUUUGUAACCAAAUUAAUUUUAAUUUAAUUUGUUUCAUUAAAGCUAAGGUUUUCCAAUUUUUGAAAUGUAAGAGAGACUAAACAGAGUUACUUUAUCUUGCUAGGUCCAAAGGUCUUGCAUAAUACUCAGAUUUCAAUAGUAGUAUGUAAAUAGCAUGUAUUUUUUUCUCUUGUGGAAAAAGGUGAAUUGGAUUAUUCCAUCAAAUUUUACAUUUUCUAACAAUACUGAUCUUUUCAAAAUCCUGUUUCCGUAAGUGUCAUUUUCCCCUAUGCUCCAGAGAACAACUGUCAAAAAAUUAUGGGAAACAAAACCAAAACACUUCUUUCACCAGAAAAUUUUCAUAAAGAAAAUAUCAGAAUGAGAUUGAAGUUCUGAAUCAACAUAUUUCAGGGUUUUACUUAUUUUCUUCUUAUUUGGAUGUGAGUAAUGACGUAGAGAUAGAGAAUUUAUUAUUCUUAGACUCCUGUCUUACUUGGACAAGUUGUUCCUUGAGUAUUUUUUUAUGUUAUAUGACACAUUAGUAUUUCACUACAUUGCCAUCUUCAUUCUUCUCAGAAGCUCAGAGGAAGAGAAAAGAAGCACUCUCAUUUCUCUUCUCCUUUUCUGCAGAUAUUUCUGCAGAUAUAGGCUUGAUAUUUUAGCAACGAGGACCUUAACUUUGCUUCUGAUGACUGCUGGCAAAAGACCCUAGAUAAACAUGCAUAAUAGUCAGCCAGACAGAAAAAUAACCAUUGUGGGCAACAAAAUAAUAGGUGGAACAAAAAAAGGAUUGGGGUUAGCCAUAGCUCUGGUCAUCUGCCUGCUACAUGCAUUGGUUUCUUAAAUGCCCAAAAAAGGUGGUGUCAAAAUUUUAAUUUAGAUUAAGAACAUGACUUAGUAAGUGUAACAGAUUUAGAGAAAUGAUUCACAUGAAAAGGAUGUAACAUCAAAUGCUGCAAACUAUUGGGGAAGGAUAGUGUUAAAAGAGAGAAGCUAUUCCCCACUGUAUCAAGGAUGUGAUUUCAUUCUGAAGUCCAAUAUGCAGAGGAAUUUAGAAGUGAAGAAAGCCUGAGUAAUAACAAAAAGAAGGCACUAAUGCAGCUGGCAAUGUGCUGGGGAUCUACUAUAAACCUUGGAACAGGAAUUAGCUGAACAAGGCUUACUGGUUCUUUCCAACACAGCAUAGUAAUGUUAAUUAAGAAACUGCAUCUUUGGGUUGUGUAACUACAGAACCAGUCUCAAGAUAAAUAGAUACCUUAUUUAUUUAGCUCUCUAUGUUGUUAAAUUAUUUAAUGAACCUUAUUAUUGGUGUUAGAUGAAUAUGAAUUAAUAUACAUUGUAUUCUUGUGACUUUAUAAAUGUGGCAUAUGUUCAAAGCAUGUUCAAUCUAAAGCAUUGCUUCUUUUAGGGCAGCAGACCCCAGUAUGUGGAUGACUGACUUACAUUUAUUUACUAAAUCUACUAGAUAGGGAUUUUUCUUGCCUUAAUACUGAAGUACACAACUCCCAUUUCCCUGACAAACAGUCUCUGAUACUUCAAAAACCUUAGGACUGCCUGACUCAUUCUCUUCUUGUUAAAAGAGACUUAACUACAGGGGCAUCUGCCAGAAGACAAAAUAAGGAAUAGAAUCUAUCUAGCAAGUUCUUGUUACUCAUCAGUGGCAACUUGAUAUUAAAAAACAAACAAACAAAAACAAAAGAAAAAACAGAGAAAAACAAUCUAGUUGAAAAGAGCUGGUUUAGGACAUGAAGGUGAGGGCAAGACAGAGGUGAGACCCUUGGAUAGGAGAUAAAAAAAUAACAAAACAGCAGAUAUCAUCAAGGAACAUCCAGAGAAUGCAAAUGAAAAUAAUCUCCUUCAAAGAUAAAAGAUAUGGAACAAGUGGUCAUACUGUUGAAUAGAUUACAAAACUGAACAAGCAUCAAGAAGGUGAUGCUAUAAUAAACAAACAAAUAAAUAAGGAGUACUGUCUGUGGAAAACAUAAAAUAAUGCGUAGGGUUUACUACAGAAGAUUCUAAGACAUUGGUCAGUCAUAUAUAAGAAUACUGUGUUCAGCCUGGGGAAUCCCAGUUUGGGAGAGGCAUAGAUUGAAGAGAAAAAUAAGAGGAGGAAUAGAGGAAUAAGAAUGAAGACAUGCAGAAAAAGUGUAAUCUCAGAUGAGAGACCAAAAAAACCAAUAAAAAUAAACUUGAUCUAACUUGAUCUACGUAGGAAUAGACUGAAGGGAAUCAGGAAAAGCCAUCAUAACAGCUUUCAUCAUAAAAGCUCCUCCAAAGAAAAAGUGUUACCUGUGGCCUUCCUGAAUGGUCCUUUAGAGAUAUGAGGUUUUCCAUGUCUAUGACAGAUAGAACAGGAUUAAACUAUAGCAAAGGUAAUUCAGAUUACAUAAAUAAAAAGUCAUCAUAGCAGUAAAACCCUUGCAUUCAUUUCUUGGAAAUAUCAUAACAAUGCUAGAGGAAUA
ensembl:lncRNA